rnacentral:rRNA from 1 species
GACGAACGCUGGCGGCGUGCCUAACACAUGCAAGUCGAACGGAGUUAAGACUUCGGUCUUAACUUAGUGGCGAACGGGUGAGUAACGCGUGAGGAACCUGCCUUUCAGUGGGGGACAACAGUUGGAAACGACUGCUAAUACCGCAUAACAUGUACGGACCGCAUGGUCUGUACAUCAAAGCUUUAUGUGCUGAAAGAUGGCCUCGCGUCUGAUUAGAUAGUUGGUGAGGUAACGGCUCACCAAGUCGACGAUCAGUAGCCGGUCUGAGAGGAUGAACGGCCACAUUGGGACUGAGAUACGGCCCAGACUCCUACGGGAGGCAGCAGUGGGGAAUAUUGGGCAAUGGGGGAAACCCUGACCCAGCAACGCCGCGUGAAGGAAGAAGGGCCCUUCGGGUUGGUAAACUUCUUUUACCUAGGGACGGAACACAAAUGACGGUACCUGGAGAAAAAG